GGGUUGUGAGGUUAAGCGACUAAGCGUACACGGUGGAUGCCCUGGCAGUCAGAGGCGAUGAAGGACGUGCUAAUCUGCGAUAAGCGCCGGUAAGGUGAUAUGAACCGUUAUAACCGGCGAUUUCCGAAUGGGGAAACCCAGUGUGAUUCGUCACACUAUCAUUAACUGAAUCCAUAGGUUAAUGAGGCGAACCGGGGGAACUGAAACAUCUAAGUACCCCGAGGAAAAGAAAUCAACCGAGAUUCCCCCAGUAGCGGCGAGCGAACGGGGAGGAGCCCAGAGCCUGAAUCAGCAUGUGUGUUAGUGGAAGCGUCUGGAAAGGUGCGCGAUACAGGGUGACAGCCCCGUACACAAAAGCGCAUGUGCUGUGAGCUCGAUGAGUAGGGCGGGACACGUGGUAUCCUGUCUGAAUAUGGGGGGACCAUCCUCCAAGGCUAAAUACUCCUGACUGACCGAUAGUGAACCAGUACCGUGAGGGAAAGGCGAAAAGAACCCCGGCGAGGGGAGUGAAAAAGAACCUGAAACCGUGUACGUACAAGCAGUGGGAGCACCCUUCGGGGUGUGACUGCGUACCUUUUGUAUAAUGGGUCAGCGACUUAUAUUCUGUAGCAAGGUUAACCGUAUAGGGGAGCCGGAGGGAAACCGAGUCUUAACCGGGCGUUAAGUUGCAGGGUAUAGACCCGAAACCCGGUGAUCUAGCCAUGGGCAGGUUGAAGGUUGGGUAACACUAACUGGAGGACCGAACCGACUAAUGUUGAAAAAUUAGCGGAUGACCUGUGGCUGGGGGUGAAAGGCCAAUCAAACCGGGAGAUAGCUGGUUCUCCCCGAAAGCUAUUUAGGUAGCGCCUCGUGAAUUCAUCUCCGGGGGUAGAGCACUGUUUCGGCUAGGGGGCCAUCCCGGCUUACCAACCCGAUGCAAACUGCGAAUACCGGAGAAUGUUAUCACGGGAGACACACGGCGGGUGCUAACGUCCGUCGUGAAGAGGGAAACAACCCAGACCGCCAGCUAAGGUCCCAAAGUCAUGGUUAAGUGGGAAACGAUGUGGGAAGGCCCAGACAGCCAGGAUGUUGGCUUAGAAGCAGCCAUCAUUUAAAGAAAGCGUAAUAGCUCACUGGUCGAGUCGGCCUGCGCGGAAGAUGUAACGGGGCUAAACCAU
rnacentral:rRNA from 1 species